GGGGUGAGGCCAGCAGUCUGGCAGAGAGCUGAGAACGAGGCAGGGUCGAGGCUCCUGCGCGAGAUAAGCCGAGGUUGCCACCGCAGGCCAGGCGCGACCAGGGCCUGGAUGCCCCGCCCGGCACGGCCCGGCCCCCGCGCGCACAGGUACCUGGAGACGAUUUCAACUGAAGUAAUGAAGGCAGUGUCGUGCUGUCGAGAGAAAGGUGGAUCCCAACAACAGGAAACUACCUAAAUCACCGACCAGUUCUGAUGCAGCCCGCGCGAAGCUGCCUCGCCCUCCGCCGCCACUGCCGCCGCCGCCGCCGCCACCGCCGCCGCCGCCGCCGCCAAGGGAGAACCCUGCGAUCGCGCCCGGCCCCUCGCCAACCUGUGCCCGCCACUGCCACUGCGUGUCCCGGGCUGCCGCUAAGGCAUGUCAGAGAAAAAAGCCACUGGCCUCAGGAAGCUCCCCUCUCAACUGAAACCACUGGUCCAAGACAGCCACAAUCCAGAUAUACUAGCAAGUCAUAAAACUGAACAAAAGCCGACAAACCUUACGGCACCAGGGCUAUAGGGCCCAGACAAAUUACGACCGUCUAGCCAGAAGAACAUGGAAAUUCAGAGCCAACAUCAAGCCCUUUUCCCAAGCUGCGUGUCCAUGCCUGCAAGCCCUUCUCAUUGCCAAGGAAGAAAGGAAGAAAG